GUUUCCCUCAGGGCCCCCCACGUUGUUUUCUGAGCAGAAUUGAGCAAGUGUUGGCUGAAGGAACGUGUGUGUUUGUGAACGUUGGAAAUGAAAAGGGAGGAAUGGGAGAUGGUCAUAUGAUGAGGUCUCCUGAGUCCGGCAUCUGGUGCGCCUGGGUUGGAGUCCAGUCAGGCCCACCUGCAGAGAGUCUGGCCUUUCUGUGCAUUCAGCCUUUUUGCCGGAUUGCCUGGAACGUGAGAGGGGGGCUGUGGCGG
rnacentral:lncRNA from 1 species